rnacentral:lncRNA from 1 species
AGGAAACUGAUAACCAAGCCAAAAGUACAGAGUUAAACGUGAAAUUAACUAAGAAGAAGAGUUGGAACCAAAAACCGUACUUGUCGGUUAAUACAUUUAGAAACCUGACUGUGCAGUUGAAGGACAAGACACAUUAACUGCUGGCAAAACAAAGUAACCAUGAGCAUAUAAUAUUUCGUACAUAAACAGCUUGUACUAAAGUUUCUCUCUUUUCACACCCUUGACCCUUCCCUAUGAGAAACUAUACAUCCAAUCUUUUGUUUAAGGUUCAAUCUCGUGAAAAAAUUGGACAUUGAGAGAGAAAAUAAAUCACCAAAAGACCGGUUUACUCAAUCAUACAUGC